AUGGCUCACCAAGACGAUGACGGGUAGCCGGCCUGAGAGGGCGACCGGCCACACUGGGACUGAGACACGGCCCAGACUCCUACGGGAGGCAGCAGUGGGGAAUAUUGCACAAUGGGCGAAAGCCUGAUGCAGCGACGCCGCGUGAGGGAUGACGGCCUUCGGGUUGUAAACCUCUUUCAGUAGGGAAGAAGCGAAAGUGACGGUACCUGCAGAAGAAGCGCCGGCUAACUACGUGCCAGCAGCCGCGGUAAUACGUAGGGCGCAAGCGUUGUCCGGAAUUAUUGGGCGUAAAGAGCUCGUAGGUGGCUUGUCGCGUCUGCCGUGAAAACCCGAGGCUCAACCUCGGGCGUGCGGUGGGUACGGGCAGGCUAGAGUGUGGUAGGGGAGACUGGAACUCCUGGUGUAGCGGUGAAAUGCGCAGAUAUCAGGAAGAACACCGAUGGCGAAGGCAGGUCUCUGGGCCAUUACUGACACUGAGGAGCGAAAGCAUGGGUAGCGAACAGGAUUAGAUACCCUGGUAGUCCAUGCCGUAAACGUUGGGCACUAGAUGUGGGGGACAUUCCACGUUUUCCGCGUCGUAGCUAACGCAUUAAGUGCCCCGCCUGGGGAGUACGGCCGCAAGGCUAAAACUCAAAGGAAUUGACGGGGGCCCGCACAAGCGGCGGAGCAUGCUGAUUAAUUCGAUGCAACGCGAAGAACCUUACCAAGGCUUGACAUGCACCGGGUGACUGCAGAGAUGUGGUUUUCUUCGGACUGGUGCACAGGUGGUGCAUGGUUGUCGUCAGCUCGUGUCGUGAGAUGUUGGGUUAAGUCCCGCAACGAGCGCAACCCUCGUUCUAUGUUGCCAGCACGUCAUGGUGGGGACUCAUAGGAGACUGCCGGGGUCAACUCGGAGAAAGGUGGGGACGACGUCAAAUCAUCAUGCCCCUUAUGUCUUGGGCUUCAAGCAUGCUACAAUGGUCGGUACAAUGGGUUGCGAAACUGUGAGGUAGAGCGAAUCCCAAAAAGCCGGCCUCAGUUCGGAUUGGGGUCUGCAACUCGACCCCAUGAAGUCGGAGUCGCUAGUAAUCGCAGAUCAGCAACGCUGCGGUGAAUACGUUCCCGGGCCUUGUACACACCGCCCGUCAAGUCACGAAAGUCGGUAACACCCGAAGCCA
rnacentral:rRNA from 1 species